rnacentral:rRNA from 1 species
UACGGAGGGGACUAGCGUUGUUCGGAUUUAUUGGGUUUAAAGGGUGCGUAGGCGGCCUGUUAAGUCAGUGGUGAAAUCCAACAGCUCAACUGUUGAUGUGCCAAUGAUACUGGCAGGCUUGAGUACAGACGAGGUAGGCGGAAUUGACAGUGUAGCGGUGAAAUGCAUAGAUAUUGUCAAGAACACCGAUAGCGAAGGCAGCUUGCUAGCCUGUAACUGACGCUGAGGCACGAAAGUAUGGGGAUCAAACAGG